GCCUUCUAAACAGAACUCUGAUUCUGACAUCCCCUAAAGAUGUUAAAGAGGCUGAAGAUGUUACCUAGCCUGGUAAUGAAACUUUUGGAAACCAACCCACAAGCUCGGAGAACGAAGUUUUACCCUCAUCCUACAUCUGAGCUAUAGAUAUUUGCCACUAUAGCGAAGGAAUUGCUUGUUAACUGCUUUGCAGCUAUUAGGAAUCUUCAGAUCAAAAAGUUUUACAACACUAGGUGCAGAAUUAAAGAGCUUCUAUCAAUAACUUGCUUAAUCAUAGUCCUCAUGAACAUUUGAGAAGUGCAGGUUCUCAAUGCUUGAUUCCGCUUGUGGAUUACAUGGGCAAACAGAAAUUCUUCAUGUGCCAUUAUGGGAUUAACCUGGCCAAUCUAAGUGGUUUCUUACCACUAAUCUUCUGUAGAAAUCAGCUCACACACAGUUUCUUUUUACCUCUUAACAGAUUGUUGGCAUAUUUACUGCGGUAAAAGCAUAGCAAACAUUAAGGGGUUUAUGAUGUUUUAAAAAUAAAUUGAGGAGUGGUUAAUGGCAAACACUGUUAUAUACAGCAUUUCACUGAUGAACUAGAGAUAAAGUAGUCUACCUUUUGACCCAGUG